UGCAGUCGAACGGCAGCGCGGGGCAACCUGGCGGCGAGUGGCGAACGGGUGAGUAAUAUAUCGGAACGUGCCCUGGAGUGGGGGAUAACGCAGCGAAAGUUGCGCUAAUACCGCAUACGAUCUAAGGAUGAAAGCGGGGGAUUCGCAAGAACCUCGUGCUCCUGGAGCGGCCGAUAUCUGAUUAGCUAGUUGGUGGGGUAAAGGCCUACCAAGGCAUCGAUCAGUAGCUGGUCUGAGAGGACGACCAGCCACACUGGAACUGAGACACGGUCCAGACUCCUACGGGAGGCAGCAGUGGGGAAUUUUGGACAAUGGGCGAAAGCCUGAUCCAGCAAUGCCGCGUGAGUGAAGAAGGCCUUCGGGUUGUAAAGCUCUUUUGUCAGGGAAGAAACGGUGAAGGCUAAUAUCCUUUGCUAAUGACGGUACCUGAAGAAUAAGCACCGGCUAACUACGUGCCAGCAGCCGCGGUAAUACGUAGGGUGCAAGCGUUAAUCGGAAUUACUGGGCGUAAAGCGUGCGCAGGCGGUUUUGUAAGUCUGUCGUGAAAUCCCCGGGCUCAACCUGGGAAUUGCGAUGGAGACUGCAAGGCUAGAAUCUGGCAGAGGGGGGUAGAAUUCCACGUGUAGCAGUGAAAUGCGUAGAGAUGUGGAGGAACACCGAUGGCGAAGGCAGCCCCCUGGGUCAAGAUUGACGCUCAUGCACGAAAGCGUGGGGAGCAAACAGGAUUAGAUACCCUGGUAGUCCACGCCCUAAACGAUGUCUACUAGUUGUCGGGUUUUAAUUAACUUGGUAACGCAGCUAACGCGUGAAGUAGACCGCCUGGGGAGUACGGUCGCAAGAUUAAAACUCAAAGGAAUUGACGGGGACCCGCACAAGCGGUGGAUGAUGUGGAUUAAUUCGAUGCAACGCGAAAAACCUUACCUACCCUUGACAUGUACGGAAGCCACGAGAGAUCGAGGCGUGCUCGAAAGANAGCCGUAACACNGGUGCUGCAUGGCUGUCGUCAGCUCGUGUCGUGAG
rnacentral:rRNA from 1 species